GUGGACUCAUUCCAUCCAAUAGGAUUCUCUUGUGUGGGCCCACCGCUUGUUGACUACGUCCGUAAAAUAAGAAGGAAGUUUUAUUAUUAUAAUGAAUUGCAAUUCAAUUCAAAACAAUGUGUUUUUUUAAGAUGAAAUUGUCGACUGUAGUUUGGUGGUGGUUCAGAUACAUAAGCGAUACAUACAUGGAUCUCAGAUUUGGAGAAACUAGCUCUGGAUGAUGAAAGAUGAUAAUAGUUCGAAGAAUUGUUUGGCAGGCGAUUUAAGAUUACUUUUCUUUUUGUAAAAUAAACAAACGUUAAUUCCUA